rnacentral:rRNA from 1 species
CUCGUAGGCUGUUUGGUAAGUCAGAUGUGAAAUCCCUCGGCUCAACCGGGGAACUGCAUUUGAUACUGCCAGACUUGAGUGUCGGAGAGGGUGGCGGAAUUCCAGGUGUAGGAGUGAAAUCCGUAGAUAUCUGGAGGAACACCAGUGGCGAAGGCGGCCACCUGGACGACAACUGACGCUGAGGAGCGAAAGCGUGGGGAGCAAACA